GCCUGUCGAGGCAGACCAGGGGUCAUCCGAACAAGUGGACCCCCCAGAAGAUGAGGAUGAAGACUCAUCCUCUGAGGAGCCAAAGAAGGCUGCAAAAUCGCGAUUCCCAUUGAGGGGAUUCAAAGAUUUUCCUCAACCCAUCCUGGAGUUCAUGGAGGAGUACUGGUUACACUUGAGGGGGUCCAUCGGGACCAAAAAACACGUGGAAAACCAGAAGUCCAAAUUGGGACGGGUAAUGUCCUUCCUUAGAUUUGUGAACAAGGGAAGGACAAUACUCCCCAAUUGGACUUUUCUGCAGGACCUUGAUCGAGUUCAUCAGUGGCCGGCGAAGCUCCUCAGAGAGGGGAAGGCAGAAAACACCACUAGGAAUUACCUCCUGAAUGUGAUGGAGUUCGCGGGCUACUUUCGGGACACGCCACCAAGCACCUCGCGUGUCCCGAAAAAGGCAGUGAUUGGCCUCCUAAGAGCAGUGUCCGCUGAUAUUAAA